UAGGACCUACGGGAGGCAGCAGUGGGGAAUAUUGCACAAUGGGGGAAACCCUGAUGCAGCGACGCCGCGUGAGCGAAGAAGUAUCUCGGUAUGUAAAGCUCUAUCAGCAGGGAAGAAAAUGACGGUACCUGACUAAGAAGCCCCGGCUAACUACGUGCCAGCAGCCGCGGUAAUACGUAGGGGGCAAGCGUUAUCCGGAUUUACUGGGUGUAAAGGGAGCGUAGACGGCUGUGCAAGUCUGAAGUGAAAUGCCGGGGCCCAACCCCGGAACUGCUUUGGAAACUGUACAGCUAGAGUGCAGGAGG
rnacentral:rRNA from 1 species